rnacentral:rRNA from 1 species
AUUGAACGCUGGCGGCAUGCUUUACACAUGCAAGUCGAACGGCAGCACGGGUGCUUGCACCUGGUGGCGAGUGGCGGACGGGUGAGUAAUGCAUCGGAACGUGUCCUGAAGUGGGGGAUAACGCAUCGAAAGAUGUGCUAAUACCGCAUAUUCUCUGAGGAGGAAAGUAGGGGAUCGAAAGACCUUAUGCUUUUGGAGCGGCCGAUGUCUGAUUAGCUAGUUGGUAGGGUAAUGGCUUACCAAGGCGACGAUCAGUAGUUGGUCUGAGAGGACGGCCAGCCACACUGGGACUGAGACACGGCCCAGACUCCUACGGGAGGCAGCAGUGGGGAAUUUUGGACAAUGGGCGCAAGCCUGAUCCAGCAAUGCCGCGUGAGUGAAGAAGGCCUUCGGGUUGUUAAAGGACUCUUUCAGUUUGAGAAGAAAAGGUACGUA